rfam:Schistosoma haematobium scaffold3413_2, whole genome shotgun sequence.
AUCCAGCUGACGAGUCCCAAAUAGGACGAAACGCACGUCAUGCAU